UAUAUAACAUAUAAAUAAAGGUAACAGUAGUAUACCGCUGUUCAAACUCAUAAAUCCAUGGACAAAAAACAAAAUCGGGGUAACAAACUAAAACUGAGGGAAACGCAUAAAUAUAAGAGGAGAACAACGACACAACACUACAAUGUAACUAAUACACACAGAAACGGACCAAGCAUCAGACAAAAUCCCACAAGAAUAACAAAUAUAACAUCAAAACCAAAUACAUGAAUUUGGGAUAGACAAGUACCGUGACACGUCUUAUCGCAAUGUCAAUUUACACUAAAAAAUAAGAGAAAACAAACGACGCAACGUUAAAUUGUAACACACACAGAAACGAACUAUAAUAUAACAAUGGCCAUAUUCCUGACUUGGUACAGGACAUUUUUAAAGGAAAAAAUGGUGGGUUGAACCUGGUUUUGUGGCAUGCCAAACCUCGCACUUUAAUGGCAAUGUUAAAUAUAACAUAGAAAUGACAACAUAAUAUUACAGGACUACAAUACAAAUAAAUAGGAAAACGUAUUAGACAAAGAAACACAUGAUUAAUGAAUAACAAAAAGCAUCAGGUUUAAAAUUUAAUACGCCAAAAACGCGCCUCGUCCACACAAGACUCACCAGUGACGCCCAGAUAUAAAAGAUCGAAAGCGA
rnacentral:lncRNA from 1 species